UUGAUUCUCCUGCUGGCGCAAAAUAAAGCUUUGCUUGACCUUUGCUUUCUAUUAGUCUCGCUCCUUUGAUCACGGACCCCAUCAGCGAAAUGCCAUGAGGCAGGGAAAAACUGCCCCGGGCACAGAAAGACAGGAGUUCGUCCUCCUGUCCCAUCACCAGGUGUGAAACCGAUCGUCCCGCGGCUUCAGAAGCCGGCAGGAAACCUCUCCUUCCUCCCCGCUCGCAACCUUACAAAAUCUGGUGUCCCCCGCCUCCCUCCGUCAAAGGCGCGGGACUGGGAAGAGGCGUCCCUCCCGGAUCGCAGAACGCAAACUCAGCCCCGCGCCUGGCGCUUCUCGACCUGAGCCGCGCCCGCCGCUGAGGGCACCGCCGGCUCCCCAGCCAGGCCAGCGGGAGACCAAGCGGAAAGUCAGGCGGGAGGCCCAGCCCCAGUCGCCUCUCGGGUAGGGGUGUCGGCUCAGGGACCAGGACUCUGCAGGGACCGGGACUCUGGAGGGACCGGCUACGCCCCAGACGCCACCAGGAGCCAAGGGCCGAGGGAGGAGCAGCGGAGAACCGGGGGCAACGAGUACCUGGCUGUCGAACUGAGAACAACUCUGGGAAUUCGCAGAGCGGGACGAGAACACUUCCGGGAAUGGCGCCGGCGUAGCCGGGCCGGCCUCCAGGCAAGCUAGUGCGCCUGCGCAGCAGGGCUUCCGAACUACAGCGCCCAGAAUCCUCAGCGUGGAGCGUUUUUGUUUGUUUUUCUGCCCCCCAUUUUUCUUUUGUUUUUUUUCUUCUACUCUUUUGUCUGCGUUUAAGAGGGAAUUGGAUGUGUUUAUCGACAGUUUGGGUGACCUAAAAAAUCUAUUCAAAUUGAAUAAACUUGUAUUGAGAAGCUAUAACCAUGUGUCAAGCAGUAGCACGAGCGAGGCAAAAAAAUGACACCACCUCUUGACUCUGAACGUUUCAGGGUGACUAAAGAAAUAAAGUCAAUGAUAGAAGAUACAGGCCUUUUGCAAAUUAGCUAAAAUUUCGGAUACCAGUAGAGUUGAUCCAAGAAGCUCAGUGAAAUUCAAAGAAAGCACAUGAAGAAAAUCACACCAAGGCACGGCAUAAGCAAAUUGCUACAAACCAGUAAUAAAGGAAAAUCUUAGAAAAACAAAGAGAUCACAAUGAGGCAGAGAGGCAGACAGAGAGGAACGGAAGCAGG